UACGUAGGGUGCAAGCGUUGUCCGGAAUUAUUGGGCGUAAAGAGCUCGUAGGCGGUCUGUCGCGUCUGCUGUGAAAAUCAGGGCUCAACCCUGGACCUGCAGUGGGUACGGGCAGACUAGAGUGCGGUAGGGGAGAUCGGAAUUCCUGGUGUAGCGGUGAAAUGCGCAGAUAUCGAGGAGGAACACCGGUGGCGAAGGCGGAUCUCUGGGCCGUAACUGACGCUGAGGAGCGAAAGCAUGGGGAGCGAACAGG
rnacentral:rRNA from 1 species